AUUUUUGAGAUUUGAUUUUUGAUUUUACGCCUUCGGCGUGUGUGAUUCCCAGAGUAGUGGCGAGCGAAAUGGGAAAAGUUCUGAUUGUGAGAAAUUUAAUUUGUUAGUUGAAUGAAUCUGGAAAGGACGACCAUAGAGGGUGAUAGUCCCGUAAACAAAAAUUUAUUAAAUUAUCAAACAAUUGUUCUAAUUUGAUUUAUCAUUUUAGGGCUGAGUACUGUCGGACACGUGAAACCCGGCAGGAAUAAACGAGGAUCAUCUCGUAAGACUAAAUACAUCUUCUAACCGAUAGUGAACUAGUACCGUGAGGGAAAGGUGAAAAGUACCCCGCAACGGGGAGUGAAAUAGAACCUGAAACCAUAUGCUUACAAGGAGAUAGAGUCCCGCCUCGGCGGGAUGAUAUCGUGCCUUUUGAAGAAUGAGCCAACGAGUUGUCGAUUAUUGCAAGCUUAACCCCGCUCAGCGGGGGUAGGCGUAGCGAAAGCGAGUACUAACUGUGCGCCAUACAAGUAAUAAUCGGCAGACCCGAAACCGGGUGAUCUACCCAUGAGCAGGAUGAAUCCACUGUAAAAGGUGUGAGGAGGUCCGAACCUACCAGUGCUGUAAAGCUGGGGGAUGACUUGUGGGUAGGGGUAAAAUGCCAAUCGAACCCGGAGAUAGCUGGUUCUCCUCGAAAUAUAUUUAGGUAUAGCGCCCAUCGAAAGCUGGCAGGUAGAGCACUGGUUUGUGUUCGGCGGCGAAAGCUGUCGGCACGAGUCAAACUCCGAAUAGUCAGUGUUAUUUGAUGAGGCAGUCAGUCCGUGAGGGCUAAGCUUCAUGUGACGAGAGGGAAACAACCCAGAUCGCCAUCUAAGGUCCCUAAAUCUAGCUAAGUGGGAAAGGAAGUUAAUUUCCCCAGACAACCAGGAGGUUGGCUUAGAAGCAGCCACCCUUUAAAGAGUGCGUAACAGCUCACUGGUCGACUGGAAAUUAGCGCCGAAAAUUUAACGGGGCUAAGCUAGAUACCGAAGAUGCGAAUCCCGCCUUUGGCGGGAUGGUAGAGGAGCGUCCCAACGACGUUGAAGCGGAAACGUGAGUAACCGUGGAGUACAUUGGGAGUGAGAAUGUUGGCAUGAGUAACGAAUUAGUCAGAUGAGAAUUCUGACCACCAAAUAUCUAAGGUUUCCCCCGCAACGAUCAUCGACGGGGGGUUAGUCGGGAGCUAAGGCAUAUAAAGUGUCGAUGCACAACAGGUUGAUAUUCCUGUACCGAUCUAAAUUUGGUUUGUAGUGACGCAUUGUCAAGCUUGAUAGCAGUUUUGGAUAUAUUGUUAUUAGGGGAGAUGGUGACAAGAAAAACUAUAAAUCGUUAAGUUUAGAUUGUCCGUACCGUAAACCAACUCAGGUAGAUGGGGCGAGAAGCCCAAGGUGAUCGAAAGAACCCUUCCUAAGGAACUCGGCAAAAAAGCGAUCGUAACUUAGGGAUAAGGUCUACCCGAUGUAAAAAUCGGGUCGCAGCGAAAGUUUUUCAGGCGACUGUUUAUCAAAAACUUAGGUCCGUGCAUAAUGCUUAGUGCUGAAGUAUACGGGCUGAUGCCUGCCCAGUGCCGGUAGGUUACGGGGAGGAGUGAUAUUUGACGCAAGUCAGAUUGAGCUUCGAACUUAAGCCCCGGUAAACGGCAGCGGUAACUAUAACCGUUCUAUGGUAGCGAAAUUCCUUGUCGGGUAAAAAAUGGAAUUUGCCCGAAUAGUGUCGUGAGACGCUAUGAGUAAUCUGGCUAAUAACGGGGAAACCCUGAACAGGUAAUCCCGUGGGAAGUCUCCCGCCUUUGGUGGGAUGACCCCGUAACGACUGAGUCGAAAGACGAGAUCCCACUUUAAUGGGAUAAUACGCCAGCUCUUAUUAAUAAACAGUAUGCUACGAAGCUCAAGAAAGGAGUAUAAGUGGAAAUAGAGUCUUAUAUUACUGGUUUGACUGAGGGAGAAGGUUGUUUCUGUGUGUCAUUUAAUCAGAGAAAAAGAUUAAAUACUGGCAUAGAAGUACGACCAAGUUUUUCAAUAAGUCAAAACAAAAAAAAUCUUAAUUUAAUGAAGAAAAUCCAAUCUUUUUUUAUAUGUGGAAGUAUCCGUUUUUCGAAACGAGACAAUACUUAUAAAUAUGAAGUUAGAAGCAUUGAUGAUUUGAUCAAUGUCAUAAUUCCUCAUUUUAUAAAGUACCCACUAAUUGGAAUUAAAGCGACAGAUUUUCAAAAAUUUGCUGAAAUAUGUAAAAUGAUUAGAUCAAAUUUACAUCGAAGUAAGAGUAGGCUAGAAGAGUUAAUUGAUUUAGCUUAUGAGAUUAAUUUAGGUAAAAGACGAUACAAAAAAGAUGAGCUUCUAAGGCAUAUAAUAAGAUGAAGAGAUAGUCUGAUUAUUUAUUUUGAUAAAUAAAUGAAGUUCCGACCCGCACGAAUGGCAUAACGGUCUGAAAACUGUCUCGGGAAGGGGUUCGGUGAAAUUACACUACCGGUAAAGAUGCCGGUUACCCGCAGCAAGACGGAAAGACCCCGUGGAGCUUUACUAUAACCUGGUAUUGUUUUAUUUUAUUUUCUGCUGAGGAUAGGUGGGAGGGACGUGCUUCGCACGGAAAUCCUAAUUUCUAAUUUCUAAUUUCUAAACAAAUUCUAAUAUUCAAAAUCCAAAUGUUUAAAACAUUGUUAUUUUGAAUUUAGAUAUUGUUUCGGAUUUAGGAUUUAGGAUUUAGAGUUUCCUUGCGGGGCAUGCCCCGCAAGGUGAAAGACCACCCUUAAAAUAAUGUGAGACUAACUUCUAAAAUUAGAGGGACAGUGCUUGGUUGGUAGUUUGACUGGGGCGGUCGACUCCAAAAGAGUAACGGAGUUGUCCAAAGGUUGGCUAGCGUCGGAUGGAAAUCGACGUGAUAGUGCAAAGGCAAAUGCCAGCUUAACUGCAAGACUUACAAGUCGCGCAGAUAGGAAACUAGGGCUUAGUGAUCCUCUGCCUAUGUAUGACAGUGGCAGAGCUCAACGAAUAAAAGCUACCCCGGGGAUAACAGGCUGAUCGGACCCAACAGUUCAUAUCGACGGUCCGGUUUGGCACCUCGAUGUCGGCUCAUCGCAACCUGGGGCUGUAGUAGGUCCCAAGGGUUGGGCUGUUCGCCCAUUAAAGCGGUACGCGAGCUGGGUUCAGAACGUCGCGAGACAGUAGAAUAUAUGUGCUGUCUAUAAAUCUUCCUAUAUGCUGAAAACUCUGUAGUCCUAAUAGGGCUUGAAGUAUCGAGUAUUACUUUAUACAAUUAAUGUAUGAGUGAAAAUAUAUCUCGUGCAGACAAUCAGCAGGAAAGAUCAAAAGAGUUCUGGAGAGGUUAUGUUACAGGUUUGGUUGAUGGUGAAGGCAGUUUUCAUAUUGCCUUCCAAAUCAGGGAUGACUUACCUUUGGGUAUUUCAAUUAUUCCUGAGUUUCAUGUAUCACAAAAUCAAGAGAGUAAGAAUGUUUUAGAAAUUACUCAAAAGAUUUUAGGAUGUGGAUACAUUAAACCAAACCAUAGAAAUUCAAACGAUUUUACUUAUGUUUAUGUGGUAAGAGAUAGGAUUGAUCUUUUAACAAAAGUGAUUCCAUUCUUUAGGAUUAACCAACUAAGAACUUCUAAAGUAAAAGAUUUUGAAUAUUUUUUCAAAGUUGUUCAACUAAUAAAUAUUGGCAAACAUCGAAAUAUUGUCGGAAUUAAAGAAAUAAUAGAUAUUGCUUAUAAGAUGAAUAAUUCUGGAAAAAGACGUAAUCGAACCAAGAAACAGUUAAUCACUCUUUUGAAAUCCUCAGAGACUAUACGGAAGAAUCCGAUCUAAGAUCGGAUAAGAUAUAGUCCGAUCUGCAUGGCGACAUGCAGAAUCCGAUUCGCAUCGGAUCGCCAUAGAUAAAUUUCAGUAGUUGAUAUGGUUAUCAAGCAACAGAAUGUCGGUCCUAAUCUGCUGUGGGCGUUGAAACUUGAGGGAAAUUCUUCCUAGUACGAGAGGACCGGAAGGAACAAGCCUCUAGUGUACCAGUUGUCCUGCCAAGGGCACUGCUGGGUAGCUAUGCUUGUUUAGAUAACCGCUGAAAGCAUCUAAGCGGGAAGCUAUACCCAAGAUUAGGUUUCGUUAUGAGAUUCCCCGUAGACUACGGGGUUGAUAGGCUACUGGUGUAAGUUCUGCAAAGAAUUCAGCCUGGUAGUACUAAUAUAAUCCAGAUCAAUAAAAU
rnacentral:rRNA from 1 species